rnacentral:rRNA from 1 species
AUGGAGGAUUUUGUCAGGCAGUGCGCCGUCUGUCAACAUGCCAAGCACGAGCACACGCAUCCCGCCGGCAAGCUUCAACCUCUACCAAUCCCCACCGAACCAUGGCACGAUCUGACCAUGGAUUUCUUCGAGGAGCUGCCCAAGUCCGAGGGGUCUGACGCCAUCAUGGUCGUCGUCGAUCGUCUGACCAAGUACGCGCACUUCAUUCCUCUACAUCACCCCUUCACCGCUGUUCAAGUCGCCCGAGCAUUCUGGGAACACGUCAUCAAGCUGCACGGAGUUCCUCACUCCAUCGUCUCGGAUCGCGAUAAGAUUUUCACCAGCGCCAUGUGGCGCGAAUUGCUCGCCGCCGCCGGAACAAAACUGCUCUACUCCACGGUGUACCACCCGCAGACGGACGGCCAGACGGAGCGCGUCAACCAGUGCCUCAAGAUGUACUUGCGGUGCGCGGUACACGACACGCCGCGGCAGAGUUCUGGUACAACUCCGCUCACCACUCCUCGCUCAAGUGUUCGUCGUUCAAGGCGCUGUACGGCAAGGAACCGAACCUGGGCGGCCUACCACACCUGA